UGUAGCUCAGUGGUAGAGCACUUGCCUAGCAUGCAUGUAUCAGGCCCUGGGUUCAAUCCCCAGCA
rnacentral:tRNA from 1 species